AUCGCUUCUCGGUCUUUUGGCUAAGAUCAAGUGUAGAAAUACACAUACAACUACUUACUGACAAAUUCAAGAUUUUAAGUUUUUGAAGGAAGUAAAGGCUUUCCUAGCUGGUGCCUUUGCAGAACUUUGAUAGCAAGGAAAGAAAAUCAGUGUUAACCACA
rnacentral:snRNA from 1 species